GACAGAGGGUGCAAACGUUGCUCGGAAUCACUGGGCGUAAAGGGCGUGUAGGCGGGAAGGAAGUCAGAUGUGAAAUCCCCAGGCUCAACCUGGGAACUGCAUUUGAAACUCCCUUUCUUGAGUACCGGAGAGGAAAGUGGAAUUCCUGGUGUAGAGGUGAAAUUCGUAGAUAUCAGGAGGAACACCAGUGGCGAAGGCGGCUUUCUGGACGGUAACUGACGCU
rnacentral:rRNA from 1 species